AUUCACGAUGACGACGAUUAGGUAUCGACAUCUGGAUACGGCAUUAGUUUGUAUGACGCAAACUAUUCUCUAUCAUAUUAGUCGGCCCGAAUCAGUUUAUAUUUGCUAAAAUUUGUAUGAAAUAUUUUUCUUGGCAUAAUUUUUUCUACUUAAAGUACGUUGUCAUGACCCUAAUUUGAAUUAUUUUUUAUAGACGUUCAGAUAUUCUCAAAAAAACUUGUCAUUAUAAUAUAAAAUUAUCUCAAAACAUAUUUUUUAUGACGUUUUUUCACCACUUGCAGGCAAUUGUGAUUUUCGCUUACAUAGAGUACUAAUUUGAUUAAGGAAAAAUCAUGUUCAUUCAUAAUUUUCAUUUUAAAAGUGUAUUCAUUCCUUCUGCAAAUCCAUACUGUCAUGCCUAUUCCCCAAUAUCGCCAACGCGGAUAGUUCGUUAGGCGAAAAUACUGAAUAAUUAAACAAGCCAAAUGGCAUCACUGGUGGUUCUUUUUUCCACUCCGCUAAACUGUCAUCUCAAACAAAAACAAAUGGAUUAUACAACUGCUAUGAAUACAUUCGACUCGUUUGCUUCCAUCAAUCGGUAAGUGAGAAAGAUGAUUUCCACUUCUAUCACAGCAGCCAACAACAUCCGUUUUCCUGCAGCAGUAACCUCCAACCCCUGUUGGCAAUGCCGGGGGACAGCAUUAACAGCAGCAGCAGCAGAAUUUGACCAUGAUAACCACAUUAGAGGUUCCGUGCUUCGCGCACAUUCAAAAAUCCUCUUCAGACACGAAAACUCAACGACAAGGAGGUAUUUAUCAACUCGCUCAGCUGAAUUACCACCCGGAGGAAUCCGAAUGCACUGAUUCCGUUGUAUAGUAGAAUGAAAAUAGGCGAGGUAAGCGAACGUAAUCGCAUGAUAUUUUAAUGUUCGCAUUUUUAUCCGGAUCAUGCAACUGCUAUGAAUGCAUCCGACUCAAUCAAUCGGCGAAUGAGAAAGAUGAUUUCCCUCAUCACCACAUUGCUUAUUUCCACUUCUGUCACACCAGCCAACAGCAUCAGCUUUCCCGCAGCAAUAUCCUUUAAGUCCAGGGUGCUAUUCCGGGGAACAGCAUCAACAGCAACAGCAGCAGGACCUGGCCAUUGAUAGUAUUUCGAGCAAUUUUCCCCAUCGAAGAUCCCGUGCUUCACGCACAUUGAAGAAUCCUCCUCAGCCACAUAUCUGUGUCAUCAAGGGCAAGGAGGUAUUCAUCAAUGUACUCAGUCGGAUUUGAAUCGUCAAUCCAGAUAACCCGGAUGCACCGAUUCCAUUAUAUACCUUAUUUUUUCAUUAUA